UGGGGAAUAUUGCACAAUGGGCGAAAGCCUGAUGCAGCAACGCCGCGUGAGUGAUGAAGGCCUUCGGGUUGUAAAGCUCUGUCUUUUGGGACGAUAAUGACGGUACCAAAGGAGGAAGCCACGGCUAACUACGUGCCAGCAGCCGCGGUAAUACGUAGGUGGCAAGCGUUGUCCGGAUUUACUGGGCGUAAAGGAUGCGUAGGCGGAUUUUUAAGUGAGAUGUGAAAACCCUAAGCUUAACUUGGGGACUGCAUUUCAUACUGGAAAUCUAGAGUGCGGGAGAGGAGAAUGGAAUUCCUAGUGUAGCGGUGAAAUGCGUAGAGAUUAGGAAGAACACCAGUGGCGAAGGCGAUUCUCUGGACCGUAACUGACGCUGAGGCAUGAAAAGCGUGGGUAGCAAACAGGAUUAGAUACCCUGGUAGUCCACGCCGUAAACGAUGAGUACUAGGUGUAGGAGGUAUCGACCCCUUCUGUGCCGCAGUUAACACAAUAAGUACUCCGCCUGGGAAGUACGAUCGCAAGACUGAAACUUAAAUGAAUUGACGGGGUCAUAGCUGUUUCCU
rnacentral:rRNA from 1 species